rnacentral:rRNA from 1 species
UACGUAGGGAGCAAGCGUUGUCCGGAAUCAUUGGGCGUAAAGCGCACGUAGGCGGCUUCUUAAGUCAGGGGUGAAAUCCUGGAGCUCAACUCCAGAACUGCCUUUGAUACUGAGAAGCUUGAGUCCGGGAGAGGUGAGUGGAACUGCGAGUGUAGAGGUGAAAUUCGUAGAUAUUCGCAAGAACACCAGUGGCGAAGGCGGCUCACUGGCCCGGUACUGACGCUGAGGUGCGAAAGCGUGGGGAGCAAACAGG